CCAGCCAUCCAGUCUCAGGCUCUGUGUCCUGUCUAUGACCAGCCAGAGAACGGCAUGGGUUUCCCUACCCCGGGAGCAGAAAGCCACAUUUCUUCCUUGUUCUAAUGCAGAAACAACCUGUGAGGAAGGCAGGUGCACAUGCAACUGGCAGAGAUGAAUCCAAGGGGAGCUGAAGCCACGUGUCAGUGGGUGCUGAGGAAAAAGUUCCCUUCCCUCUGAGCAAAGGGAACACAAGGGAAGAAGGAGCAGAGGAGACUCAACUGAGCUGGUCCUUAAAGGUGGGCACCAGGUGCUGAAAACCAUCUCUGUGCAGAGUGAGCGGGUGAUUGGCUAGCUGUCCCACUGCAGCGGGGAGGCAGAGCCAGGUGUCUUUCCAGGCGAAGUCAUCUUUAUCUCUGUGGUAUAAAC